rnacentral:rRNA from 1 species
CCUACGGGUGGCAGCAGUGGGGAAUAUUGCACAAUGGGCGAAAGCCUGACGCAGCGACGCCGCGUGAGGGAUGAAGGUUCUCGGAUCGUAAACCUCUGUCAGAAGGGAAGAAAUUAUAUCAUGCUCAUCAGUGGUGUAUUGACGGUACCUUCAAAGGAAGCACCGGCUAACUCCGUGGCAGCAGCCGCGGGAAUACGGAGGGUGCGAGCGUUAAUCGGAAUUACUGGGCGUAAAGCGCACGUAGGCUGUAUGACAAGUCAAGGGUGAAAGGCCACGGCUCAACCGUGGAACUGCCUUUGAAACUGUCGAACUGGAGUAGGUGAGAGGGAGGCGGAAUUCCUGGUGUAGGAGUGAAAUGCGUAGAUAUCAGGAGGAACAUCAGUGGCGAAGGCGGCCGACUGGCACAAAACUGACGCUGAGGUGCGAAAGCGUGGGUAGCAAACAGGAUUAGAUACCCUAGUAGUC